AUGGAAGUGGAAUCAGCCGCCGAGCUGCAGGAGCGGCGGCGGCCGCCGUGGCGCCGCACGGUGGCCGUUCAGGCCGCGCUCUGCCUCGCGCUCUACGCGGCCUUCAACCUCGGCGAGCCGCAGCUCCGGCCGCGGGGCGGGGGCGCGCUGGGCGUCGGCGGCGGCGGCCUCACCUUCCUCAGCGUCGCGGGCGGCGCGCGGACGCCCGCUGACCAGGCGCGCCUCCUGAGGCAGAUGGAAAGCACAACAAAGGUUUAUGAAGUCAAGUUAGUGCUGGAUGUUGCCCGAUUUGGCGAUGACCCACUUGGGCAAAAUGGUUCUCUGCACUUCCAAGCUCUGAAUAUCCCCUGGUAUUCCACUACAUCACAUGGGCAGAUUGUUAGUAAUUUCUUGAAGAAAGUGAAGAUGCCAUACGACCAAAUUCUGGAAAUUGUUGGUGUUGAUACAGGGCCUCUUGAGGAUCUUCUGCAUGAUGGCAAAAUGAGCAAUUCUAGCAGGGAACAAAUUACAUGGCUGGAGCAAACACUAGCGCUGACCAGCAAUAACUGGAAAAUAGUUGUUGGAUAUGAUCCAUUAGUUGAUUGCAAUGAGGUGCACACAACAAAAACAACAAAGAUCUAUGAGCCACUCCGGCAUAUUUUUGAAAAAUACGCAGUGAAUGCAUAUGUAAGCACUGGUGGUUCUUGUGGACACUUCCAUCAUGACAAUUCAAUGUCAUAUAUUCAAAACCCCAUCCCUGGAGAUCAAACGGAUUUAGAUGGUUUCUUCUUGCAUAGAGUCAGCCCUCUAGAGAUGGAAACCCUGUUGAUAAACUUAGACGGCGAGGUUGUUCAAAGAUCUGUAGUUCACCAGCAUGGAAGGGAAGCCAUGUAA
rnacentral:rRNA from 1 species